rnacentral:misc_RNA from 1 species
UCCGGCUUAACGCCGGCAGUCCCCCUAGAGUGCCCAACUGAAUGGUGGCAACUAAGGGCAAGGGUUGCGCUCGUUGCGGGACUUAACCCAACAUCUCACGACACGAGCUGACGACAGCUAUGCACCACCUGUGACCGCCCCCGAAGGACACCGCAUCUCUGCGGCUUUAGCGGCCAUGUCAAACCCAGGUAAGGUUCUUCGCGUCGCAUCGAAUUAAUCCGCAUGCUCCGCCGCUUGUGCGGGCCCCCGUCAAUUCCUUUGAGUUUUAGCCUUGCGGCCGUACUCCCCAGGCGGGGUGCUUAAUGCGUUAGCUUCGGCACGGAUGGAGUCGACACCACCCACACCUAGCACCCAUCGUUUACAGCGUGGACUAC